GACGAACGCUGGCGGCGUGCUUAACACAUGCAAGUCGAACGGGUCUGCCCUGUUUUUUGCGGGGUGGGUCAGUGGCGAACGGGUGAGUAACACGUGAGUAACCUGCCCCUCACUUCUGGAUAACCGCUUGAAAGGGUGGCUAAUACGGGGUGUUCUGGCUGUGCCGCAUGGUGUGGCUGGGAAAGAUUCACUUUUGUGGUGUUUUGGCGGGGGAUGGGCUCGCGGCCUAUCAGCUUGUUGGGGGGGUGAUGGCCUGCCAAGGCUUUGACGGGUAGCCGGCCUGAGAGGGUGGGCGGUCACACGGGGACUGAGAUACGGCCCAGACUCCUGCGGGAGGCAGCAGUGGGGGGUAUUGCACAAUGGGCGGAAGCCUGAUGCAGCGACGUCGCGUGAGGGAUGGAGGCCUUCGGGUUGUGAACCUCUUUCGCCGGUGAAGAAGGUCCUGCUCUUUGUGGUGGGGUUGACGGUAGCCGGGUUAUGAAGCGCCGGCUAACUACGUG
rnacentral:rRNA from 1 species